rnacentral:rRNA from 1 species
AGGACGAACGCUGGCGGCGUGCUUAACACAUGCAAGUCGAGCGGAAAGGCCCUUCGGGGUACUCGAGCGGCGAACGGGUGAGUAACACGUGAGCAACCUGCCCUUAGCUUCGGGAUAGCUCCGGGAAACCGGAAUUAAUACCGAAUAUGACUUCGGCUGACAUCAGCAGAAGUGGAAAGUUUUUCGGCUAGGGAUGGACUCGCGGCCUAUCAGCUAGUUGGUGAGGUAACGGCCCACCAAGGCGACGACGGGUAGCCGGCCUGAGAGGGCGACCGGCCACACUGGGACUGAGACACGGCCCAGACUCCUACGGGAGGCAGCAGUGGGGAAUAUUGCGCAAUGGGCGAAAGCCUGACGCAGCGACGCCACGUGGGGGAUGAAUGCCUUCGGGUUGUAAACCCCUUUCAGCAGGGACGAAGCGAAAGUGACGGUACCUGCAGAAGAAGCGCCGGCUAACUACGCGCCAGCAGCCGC